AUGGAAGCUACCGACAGCCUCCUCAUGGCCACCGAGCUCAGGCUGGGCCUCCCCGGCACCGACGACAAGCCACACAAGAUCACCUCGGCGAUGUCGCCGCCGGCGACUCCCAGGGGCAAGAAGCGCACCCUGGACGCCUUCGAGGCCACCGCCUCCGAUGAGGCCGACAGGUCCGACGACACCGCGACCGCACCCCCCGUGGCCAAGGCACAAGUUGUCGGGUGGCCGCCGGUGAGGCGCUGCUUCCAGGAAGCGGCGAGCAAGAGCAAGGCGAAGAAAGCGGACGAGGCCAGCAGCAACAACACGCCGUCCGCGGCGGUGCCGACGAGCACCAACGGCUCCUUCGUCAAAGUGAGCAUGGACGGAGCGCCCUACCUCAGGAAGGUCGACAUGAGGAUGUACAAGGGCUACCGGGAGCUCAGGGAGGCCCUGGAGGCCAUGUUCGUCUGCUUCUCCGGGGCAGACGGCGGCGCCUCCAGCGGCGGGGGCGCAAACCCGGCCGAGUACGCCAUCACCUACGAGGACAAGGACGGCGACCUCAUGCUUGUCGGAGACGUGCCCUUCGAUAUGUUCAGCGGCACAUGCAAGAAGUUGAGGAUCAUCAAGAGAUCCGAAGCCACAGGCCUGGGAUCCAAAUAA
rnacentral:rRNA from 1 species